rnacentral:rRNA from 1 species
AGCAGCCGCGGUAAUUCCAGCUCCAAUAGCGUAUAUUAAAGUUGUUGCAGUUAAAAAGCCCGUAGUUGAACUUCGGGUCCGGCUGAGUGGUCUUGCCAAUGGUAAGUACUGCUCUGGUCGGAUCUUUCUUUCUGGGGAACCAACGUUCUCUUAACUGAGUGCGCUGGGGAUCCAGGACUUUUACUUUGAAAAAAUUAGAGUGUUUAAAGCAGGCCUACGCUUGAAUACGUUAGCAUGGAAUAAUAGAAUAGGACUUUGGUUCUAUUUUGUUGGUUUCUAGGACCGAGGUAAUGAUUAAUAGGGAUAGUUGGGGGCAUUAGUAUUUAAUUGUCAGAGGUGAAAUUCUUGGAUUUAUGAAAGACUAACUUCUGCGAAAGCAUUUGCCAAGGAUGUUUUCAUUAAUCAAGGACGAAAGUUAGGGGAUCGAAGACGAUCAGAUACCGUCGUAGUCUUAACCAUAAACUAUGCCGACUAGGGAUCGGAUGAUGUUAAUUUUUUAAUGACUCA